ensembl:misc_RNA Metazoa_SRP Metazoan signal recognition particle RNA
GCCAGGCAUGGUGGUGCAUGCCUGUAGUCCCAGCUGCUUGGGAGGCUGAGGUGGGAGGAUCACUUGAGCCCAGAAGGUCAAGGCUGCAGUGAGCCAUUAUUAUACCACUGCACUCCAGCCUGGGCAAUAGAGUGAGACCCCCAUCUCA